rfam:Oryza barthii chromosome 8, whole genome shotgun sequence.
AAAUAGUACAACCAUCAGUUUUCACGUUUAAGUUUUGAUCGUCCGUCUUUUUUAAAAUAAAAUUAUAAUUAGCAUUUUUAUUGUUAUGAGAUGAUAAAACAUGAAUAAUACUUUAUUCGUGACUUAUGUUUUUAAUUUUUUUAAAAAUAUUUUUAAAUAAGACGCACAGUCAAAGUUAGGUACGGAAAAUUAUGACUGCACUUAUU